ensembl:lncRNA
AAUUCUGACCAGAAGUAGUGUGGACUGAGGAAGUAAAAUAGAGAUUGUGGCCUGUGGAGUCCUACAAAACAGCUUGAUGCAGUAGACACUCUUAGGGGAGCACGGAAGAGAGUCCAAAGCAGCUCUGGAAAGGCUUGGAGAAAGUGGCACUUUCUUAAAGAGAUAAAAAGUUGUAAAGAAAAGGCCAGGACUUCACUGGGAGGAUCCUGAAGGAGAGACAUACCCAUGGAGGCCUAGCAGCAGGGAUAGAAGUCAGAGGAAGGGUAAGCUGCACAAGGAAAAUGAGGAGAACCAUGUGAGUCCUGGAAAACUCGAGCUGACCUUCCAAGUGGAUCUCAUGCACUUCAAAGGUGGCAGAGAGUGAGAGAGAAGCUGUUAAUUUAGAGUAGAAGUGAACAGGCCUAAAGAAUCAGGAGAAGUAUGGGAAUCAAUCACAGAGCAAAACAAAAACAAACAAACAAAAAAAAAACCAAAAAAAAACAGCCAAGUUGAGCUGAAAAUACACAGAAAUAAACAGAAGAAUCAGAGAAGGGAAGAAACACGAAGUUGAAGGGGGAAAAAAAAGAAAAAAAAAAAUUUAUCAUUGGAUUUGCCUGAAAUUUUAGAUAUGGGAGGUCAGCUGUUUCAUUAGGUGCAUUUCAAUUUUUACCAGUAUGAAGAUUUUAAGAUGUGAAGUAGUUAUUGAACUGAACUUAUGAGCUCAUCCUUUCUUCUGUUCCCAAAGCUUGCUAACAUUGCUGCUGCUUGAACACGCUGCUGUUGCUAAAAGACACUGUAACGCAAUUCAAAUUUUAAAAUUAUGAUAUUAAUAAACUUGUAAUGAAUUUCAAUAUACACACACACUGAAAGCUUGACACACAGAAGUGAACAGACAAAUCCCAAGGAGCAAUUAGAAAGCAUUUCAGGUACUCCUAUGUACAGUCUUAGCUGAAUCUCACAUGUAUAGAAACUAAAAAAAAACAAAACAAAACAAAAAACAGUAAUAUCCAUACCCCAUUUUCAAAUGUUUUUCAUCCAAGUAUUUUAAACUAAAAUUUCAGUUGAAAUGCAGUUCAAAAAAAUCAUUAAAGACAGAGGAAGCAUCCUCCUGCAAAAUCAAUCAGAGGCAGAAAACAUCAGUGUGCUAAGCAGUGCAAAGACUAACAGCUAGAAUAACUUCACUUAUAUUUAGAUCUUUAGGCAAAGGCAUGGCUAAGUCACAUUCAUUGAACCAAACGUGUACAAAUAAAAGAUUCCAACUAUUCUUGGACUUAGUAGUGGCUUACUAUGAGUGCAGCCUUUGAGGCAAACAUAUCAGUAAACUGGGAAAGGACA